rnacentral:rRNA from 1 species
GACGAACGCUGGCGGCGUGCUUAACACAUGCAAGUCGAACGGAAAGGCCCUGCUUUUGUGGUGUGCUCGAGUGGCGAACGGGUGAAUAACACGUGAGUAACCUGCCCUUGACUUUGGGAUAACUUCAGGAAACUGGGGCUAAAACCGGAUAGGAGCUCCUGCUGCAUGGUGGGGGUUGGAAAGUUUCGGCGGUUGGGGAUGGACUCGCGGCUUAUCAGCUUGUUGGUGGGGUAGUGGCUUACCAAGGCUUUGACGGGUAGCCGGCCUGAGAGGGUGACCGGCCACAUUGGGACUGAGAUACGGCCCAGACUCCUACGGGAGGCAGAAGUGGGGAAUAUUGCACAAUGGGCGGAAGCCUGAUGCAGAAACGCCGCGUGCGGGAUGGCGGCCUUCGGGUUGUAAACCGUUUUCGCCUGUGACGAAGCGUGAGUGACGGUAAUGGGUAAAGAAGCACCGGCUAACUACGUG